ACGCUGGCGGCGUGGAUAAGACAUGCAAGUCGAGCGCUGAUUUGAAGGUAGCAAUAUUUUCAAGUCGGAGCGGCGCAAGGGUGCGUAACACGUGGGAAUCUGCCUUGAAGUGUGGGAUAACUCCGAGAAAUCGGAGCUAAUACCGCAUGUGAUUGUAAAAUUAAAGUUGGGGAUCGUAAGACCUGACGCUUCAAGAUGAGCCCGCGGCCUAUCAGCUAGUUGGUGAGGUAAUGGCUCACCAAGGCUAAGACGGGUAGCUGGUCUGAGAGGACGACCAGUCACACUGGAACUGAGACACGGUCCAGACACCUACGGGUGGCAGCAGUCGAGAAUUUUUCUCAAUGGGCGAAAGCCUGAAGGAGCGACGCCGCGUGGGGGAUGAAUGGCUUCGGCCCGUAAACCCCUGUCAUUUGCGAACAAAUUGCUUCAACUAACACGUGAAGUAUUGAUUGUAGCGGAAGAGGAAGGGACGGCUAACUCUGUG
rnacentral:rRNA from 1 species